rnacentral:lncRNA from 1 species
CUGGUGGUAGUUGUUGGGAUGUGGUGCUCUUCUUUACUCUUCGCCGACCGAAGAACUAUGCUUGGUCAUAUGAGGUUUUCUUUGUCAGGUUUUGAGUUGAAAUGGAGUGGUUCUCAUAGGUCAUUUUAUUGUUGUUUCUGUGUUCGUCCUUCGUGUUCUCUCCUGGUUUCUGGUAUAGUAUGACUUACAGUUUAUAGGGGUGUCAAAAGACUAUGAUUUUACUCAUAGAAGGCUUCUUUUUGACAAUUGGGAUGUUCUGCGGUCCUCUCAUGUGGGCUUACUAGUUGGGGUUUCUACGGUUCUCUCAUGUGGGUUUACUGUGUUGGUCUCUAGUUGCGGUUCUCGUCAGAGGUCUUUGUGUUAGGUUUUAUUUUUGACUUGUUCUUUUAUUGUAAUGGUCCAAAGUGAUCUGAAUUGGACUCUCAUGUUAGCACAUGACGUGUGUGGUACUCUUUCCUCCCAUAGGAUUUGUCCCAUGAGGUUGUCCUAGGAAGAUUUUAACGAG